GUUAAAGUUCGGCAUGCUCUGCUUCGGCGGCCCCAGUCCACUUCCCAGUCGCGGAACCACACCACCCAUCUGUCAUUGCCGUGCUGUGGUGGCAGCUCAGAUAGAAGAACUAGAAUGACCUAUAACUAGGAUAUGCAACCAUGUUCUGGGGGCUUUGGUGAGAAAAAAGAAAAGAGGAAGAUUUGGCAAUAGAUGUUAGCUCAGGGCAAAUCUUUCCCUGCAAAAAAAAAAGAAAGUUAAACAAACUUACCAUGUGGCCCAGCAAUUCUACUCCCAGGUCCCUGUCUAAGAGAAACAAAAACGUACGUCCACACAAAGGUUUGUGAGUCAGUGUUCAUAGCAGCAUUGUUCACGAGAGGCAAAAACUGGAAACCACCUAGAUGCCCAUCAACUGAUUAACAGGCAAAGUGUGGGAAAUCCAUAUGCUGGAACCCCAUUCACCGAUAAAAAGGAACAAACUAAUGGCGGUGCUGCCAUAUGGAUGAAUGGCAGAGAUGCUGAGAUAAGCGAGAGAACCGACACAGAGACCACCUGGUGUGUGAUCGCACGCACGUGAAAUGUCCAGACAAGGCGAACUGACAGGCAAAUAACCUUCCUGAGGACAGAUGCUGAGCCUUGACUCUCAGACUCCGGGAGCAAAGUCCACCUCCUGCGGGACGCAAUGACGGCUUGCUGCCUUCACAGAUAAGUGCGAUGGGAAGGCAGAGCCCAGCAGAAGGAGAAUUUGGUUCCAUUCCUGAGGUCUUUGACUGGGACCUACAUGAGUGCGAGAAUAAUGAAAAAGAGAGAGAGAAGGGGGCAAGAGUACACCAGGGUGUUUAAUAGAGUGUGAUCGUAUCCUGUAAAUAAGACAGUGCUGACAAAAGGAAGAAAAGCCCGCCCCUGUGUGAAUGAACUGAGUAAACAGCUUACUCCUUCUGCCAAAAGGUUGGCAAGGAGUAGAAAGUAAGAAGAAGGAAAAUACCAGCAAAUGAGAGCCUUGGUUCGGGAAUGCAAUGUAUCUGGAGAACAAAAUUAUGGCAUAUGAAAGGCGGGGGAGAGGAAGGGAGGGAGGAGGAAAGGAGAAAAAGGGAGAGGGGAGAAAGAGAGAGGUCAGGGAGGGAGGCAGAGAGGAGGAAGGGCAGAAGCAGCCAGACCCUGGAGGGCCGGGCAGGCCAAGAGGACCUGGGCUCCUGGCUGAAUGGGGCAGAGCAAUGACAGGAGAACGUGUGUCAACACGAUAAUAAUAGGCUUCACUUGGGAGUGUGGGGACGAGGUGAGUUCACAGUGCAAAGUCAGAGCACAGUGACACUCAGUAAGCACCAACCGCCAGUCAGCAUCAUGGUCCCGAUUUUAGCCCCUAACACUUUGAGCCCAGAGAGGGGAAGUCUCGCUUGCUCAGGGCCACAGCUGUCCGUCUUGUGGCCACGGGGAGCCAGCCUGAGCAAGCGCCGCCCUGGAGGGGGAGGCCCCGGGAUGGGGGCCGGCUCCCUGCAGGCAGGGGUGCCAGGCAGUAAAGGAUGGGCGGGGCACAGGGAGACCCAGACUGUGCCACCCACCACCUCCACGUCCUUGUCCCCUGAGCCUUGUUCUUCACCUGCAGAUGGGGGAGUAGCAGCGACACCUCCUACAGGGGUCGUCAAGGGGACAGAGGAAGGCAGAGCCUGUGAAGUCCCCAGCCCAGGGCCUCACAGACAGUGCCACCUAUUCAGCUUCCUUUAUUUGACAGAUGUUUAUUGGCAUGUGCCACAGGCCACACCACCAGGACACUGGGGACACAAGGUGAACAAGACACACUUCUCCAGACCACACGCGCGCACGCGCACGUGCACACACCGCCCCCCCCACCAUUGUCAAAACACUAAAUUCCAGAAAGUGAUGGAGAGCAGCGCUGUGAGAUUUAAAAACAGAGACUCUGGGCAACCUUUCUCCCACCCUACAGGCCACAUGGCGGCCACCCCCGCCCAGCUGCUGGGAGGAGCCCAGAGCCGUGGGGCUCAGCCCUGGCUCCACACCGGAACCUUCUGGGUUCAAAGUCCUGACCCAUGGGUCCUAUCCCCAGAGCUUCCAGUGAGGCCUGUGUUGCCGAGGGACCUGCACAGACGGGAUAGGUGCCCGACACACGCUCACUGAAUGGCUGACAUAUGCACCGGGCUUCCCUGGAUGGAGCUGGGAGCCCCCCCACCCCCCCACGGCGGUGCUCCCGGAGCGUGGAUGGAGGGGGACACGCACAAUUUUCAAUGUCUGUGCUUCCCAGCAUAGGCUUCCUCACUCCGAGCAGAUAUCACUUUAAAAGUUAAUUAAAAGAAAAUGAUUUGCCAGCUGUUCAAGA
rnacentral:lncRNA from 1 species